rnacentral:rRNA from 1 species
UAUACCGUGAAACUGCGAAUGGCUCAUAAAUCAGUUAUCGUUUAUUUGAUAGUACCUACUACUUGGAUAACCGUGGUAAUUCUAGAGCUAAUACAUGCUGAAAACCCCGACUUCGGAAGGGGUGUAUUUAUUAGAUAAAAAACCAAUGCCCUCCGGGGCUCCUUGGUGAUUCAUAAUAACUUCUCAGAUCGCAUGGCCUUGCGCCGGCGACGGUUCAUUCAAAUUUCUGCCCUAUCAACUUUCGAUGGUAAGGUAUUGGCUUACCAUGGUUUCAACGGGUAACGGGGAAUUAGGGUUCGAUUCCGGAGAGCGAGCCUGAGAAACGGCUACCACAUCCAAGGAAGGCAGCAGGCGCGCAAAUUACCCAAUCCCGACACGGGGAGGUAGUGACAAUAAAUACUGAUACAGGGCUCUUUUGGGUCUUGUAAUUGGAAUGAGUACAAUUUAAACCUCUUAACGAGGAACAAUUGGAGGGCAAGUCUGGUGCCAGCAGCCGCGGUAAUUCCAGCUCCAAUAGCGUAUAUUAAAGUUGUUGCAGUUAAAAAGCUCGUAGUUGAACCUUUGGCCUGGCUGGCAGGUCCGCCUCACCGCGUGCACUUGUCCGGCCGGGCCUUUUCUUCUGGAGAACCGCAUGCCCUUCACUGGGUGUGUUGGGGACCAGGACUUUUACUUUGAAAAAAUUAGAGUGUUCAAAGCAGGCCUUUGCUCGAAUACGUUAGCAUGGAAUAAUAGAAUAGGACGUGCGGUCCUAUUUUGUUGGUUUCUAGGACCGCCGUAAUGAUUAAUAGGGACAGUCGGGGGCAUCAGUAUUCAAUUGUCAGAGGUGAAAUUCUUGGAUUUAUUGAAGACUAACUACUGCGAAAGCAUUUGCCAAGGAUGUUUUCAUUAAUCAGUGAACGAAAGUUAGGGGAUCGAAGACGAUCAGAUACCGUCGUAGUCUUAACCAUAAACUAUGCCGACUAGGGAUCGGGCGGUGUUAUUAUUUUGACUCGCUCGGCACCUUACGAGAAAU